AAACAAUAUAAUAGAAAGAAUGGGAAUGUGUAGCGUUCUUCAUAUCACAACAUUCACUCCAAAACAAUCUAUCAAGCAAGCAAGCAAGCAAAAAAAAGCAAGUGGGCAAUGGCAAAGAGACGGUUCAACUUCAGCCUUGGAUAAUUAGUUUUGUAGGUUGACUGCUUUAGAUACAAGAUGGUACCACAGGGUACUCCAGGAGCUUCUUCAAGAGGAAGUAAAGAUUGAUUCUACCUCCUCCUUUUCCCCUGCCUAAAUGUGCCAUAUAGGUCAUCAUACAGAAGUGUCCUUCUUGAACAUAGGCUAGCACGUGUGCAUCUUGGGAAUAAAUCUGUAGUGGAAAGUGAGUUAGUACAAAUGGAAAACUGAGACAACUCAGCAACACUUGCUUUCAGAACAUAGCCACCCAUAUCAGCUGAUAUGCAGAUAGUCUGUUGUUGCCGUGCAGUGGGAGAGUGCCUGACCUCUGGCCCUAAGUCCUGCAGCAAGCUCAGCACCUCCCUGUGGCACAGCAGUGGUGAGAUCAGCCUGCUGAGGUCCAGAGAGGAAAGAUUGGUUAUUUAGCCAUCUUUGGUAGAGGAGGGUGCUUUGCUUCUGCAGUCACAGAAUAAUUUAGUAUGUAUGGGAAUACAUGAAAGGCUUUUUAACUUCUGGUCAGUGAAGUGUUUUGAAUUAAGUGUUACAUUUAGAGCAGUUUUAUGAAAAAAUCUUC